UACGUAGGGCCAAGCGUUGUCCGGAUUUAUUGGGCGUAAAGAGCUCGUAGGCGGUUUGUCGCGUCUGCCGUGAAAGUCCGGGGCUCGACUCCGGAUCUGCGGUGGGUACGGGCAGACUAGAGUGAUGUAGGGGAGACUGGAAUUCCUGGUGUAGCGGUGAAAUGCGCAGAUAUCAGGAGGAACACCGAUGGCGAAGGCAGGUCUCUGGGCAUUAACUGACGCUGAGGAGCGAAAGCAUGGGGAGCGAACAGG
rnacentral:rRNA from 1 species